AGCUGAGCCAAAUCUAGCCAUUAGACCAGAGAGACAGAGCCAUUUAGGUCUCCAAGGAGAGAACACAAUUUCUGUUUCCCCUAAGGAUGGCAGCAGAAUGGUGAUUCAUUCUCUCAUUUCUCUGUUAGGAACCUGGUUUACUAAUACGAAAACACAGAGCAGUAGUCAAGCCCACAGCAACUCUGCUCCUGCUGGAUCAGCCCCUUCAGCUUCUCCAUGUCCUAGGCCAGAUGGGUGCACAGCUCCGUGGUGAAGAGUGCCAACUCCUUCUGCAGGUCAUCUGUGUCAUCGAGGUUGGAGGUGGCUGAAUUGGUUCUAAAAGGAGGGAAGCCAAAGAGAAGCCACAUCUGUCUCUUACUACUGGAUCCCAGGCGCAUAAUGGGCACUCAGAGAGGAGCUUUUAGAUCUUCAACCAGACAUCUGCCAGAAGUACCUUUAACAUGCAAACUAGCCAAGGGAGUUUGCCUGCUUCUAGUCACCAUCAAAGCAGAGAACCUGAAGAAAGAUUACGCACAUCCUCCUGGCACUGCCCCUGAGCUAUCCCUAAUGAAGAGGCAGGAAAACCAGUUGCUUGAAGCCAAAUGACUUUACUCCCCAAAUGAGGAGGGAUACCCUCAUCCACUUCACCACAAAGCUUGGAGAAAUUCUAUACUUCAAGGGCCCCAGCUGAAGAAGUAGCAGAGUUCACGGGGGGUGGUAGUGUGGAGCCAGAGUGUGAGGGUGUGGGGGACAAAAGCUGGUAUGUGGGAAAAAGAAAGCAUGGAGGAGAAAGGCCUCCUUCUUAAAAGCCUUGGUCUGGAUGUGGCAUACAUCACUUGCAUUGCCACUUCACAGUGAGAAUGAGAUGUGUCUCUACUGUUAAAUUAAUUAAACAAGGAGGCAGUUAGAUUGUGGUGGUUCUAAUACUUGAACAGCUUACAUACAUACCCCAGAAUCUAAGCCUGUAAACUCUUCAAGGUUAAGAGAAAAAAACCUAAGCACAACAAAUCACAGAAACAGCUAACAAGGCUUUUCCAAAGAAGGAGAAUGCUUUAGCUUUAGCAAAUCAAAUAAUACCCUUGCUUUGCUUCCACCUUUUCUCUCUAAAAGUCUUUCCUCUCACUCUUGUGGGUGGAGUGCUCCUAACCACUCUGUUUUUGGCACUGCCCUUUUGGAAUAUAUUUUUACUCAAAUAAACUUAAAAGUUUCAAAAAUUUGCCCUAGUUUAUCUUUCAACACUACCUAACGGCCAAAGGAGAGAGAGAUGGUUUUUCCCUGGGUGGGUAGCUGCUUCCUAGUUACAAUUUUAUAUCUUGAAAUGAAAGAAUGGAUUUUGGUGGGCAGUCUCUGCCCCAUCAAGAUCCUCCCAGAAGUACUUGUUUGGCCUGGGGUUGGGAUGGAGAGGAUAAUCUGUAGAACUCUGGUAUUCUGAACUGGAUGAUGAGGUAAGCCAGUAACAUUUAGGUUAACAAGACCAGCUAUUCUAAAUGUGAAAGUGGUAUUUCCCCCCCUUCCUUGAAAUUAUCUGCCUAUGUGAAAUUACUGAAUAAUUUAGAAAGAACCUUUUCUCUUGCCUAACUACUUAGAUUUGGAAUGGCCAUUACACUGAAUUUCUUUUAUGAUUUAACAUACACCUGUAUCAACAGUCUAAAAUGUUCAUCAUCAUUAGCCAUCAGAGAAAUUCAAAUCAAAACCAUAUUGAGAUACCACCUUACACCAGUUAGAAUGGCCAAAAUUAGUAAGACAGUAAACAACAAGUGUUGGAGAGGAUGUGGAGAAAGGGGAACCCUCUUAAACCGCUGGUGGGAAUGCAAGUUGGUGCAGCCACUUUGGAAAACAGUAUGGAGAUUUCUCAAAAAAUUAAAAAUAGAGCUACCCUAUGACCCUGCCAUUGCACUACGGGGUAUUUACUCCAAGAUACAGAUGUAGUGAAAAGAAGGGCCAGAUGAACCCCAACGUUCAUAGCAGCAAUGGCCACAAUUGCCAAACUGUGGAAAGAGCAAAGAUGCCCUUCAACAGAUGAAUGGAUAAAGAAGCUAUGGUUCAUAUAUACAAUGGAAUAU